UAGCUAGUUGGUGAGGUAAAGGCUUACCAAGGCGACGAUCUGUAGCGGGUCUGAGAGGAUGAUCCGCCACACUGGAACUGAGACACGGUCCAGACUCCUACGGGAGGCAGCAGUGGGGAAUUUUGGACAAUGGGGGCAACCCUGAUCCAGCCAUGCCGCGUGAGUGAAGAAGGCCUUCGGGUUGUAAAGCUCUUUCGGCCGGGAAGAAAUCGCAUGGGCCAAUACCCUGUGUGGAUGACGGUACCGGAAUAAGAGGCACCGGCUAACUACGUGCCAGCAGCCGCGGUAAUACGUAGGGUGCGAGCGUUAAUCGGAAUUACUGGGCGUAAAGCGUGCGCAGGCGGUUUUGUAAGACAGGCGUGAAAUCCCCGGGCUUAACCUGGGAACUGCGUUUGUGACUGCAAGGCUAGAGCACGGCAGAGGGGGGUGGAAUUCCACGUGUAGCAGUGAAAUGCGUAGAGAUGUGGAGGAACACCAAUGGCGAAGGCAGCCCCCUGGGUCGAUACUGACGCUCAUGCACGAAAGCGUGGGUAGCAAACAGGAUUAGAUACCCUGGUAGUCCACGCCCUAAACUAUGUCAACUAGGUGUUGGGUGGGUAAAACCAUUUAGUACCGUAGCUAACGCGUGAAGUUGACCGCCUGGGGAGUACGGCCGCAAGGUUAAAACUCAAAGGAAUUGACGGGGACCCGCACAAGCGGUGGAUGAUGUGGAUUAAUUCGAUGCAACGCGAAAAACCUUACCUACCCUUGACAUGCCAGGAACUUGCCAGAGAUGGCUUGGUGCCCGAAAGGGAGCCUGGACACAGGUGCUGCAUGGCUGUCGUCAGCUCGUGUCGUGAGAUGUUGGGUUAAGUCCCGCAACGAGCGCAACCCUUGUCGUUAAUUGCCAUCAUUUAGUUGGGCACUUUAACGAGACUGCCGGUGACAAACCGGAGGAAGGUGGGGAUGACGUCAAGUCCUCAUGGCCCUUAUGGGUAGGGCUUCACACGUCGUACAAUGGUCGGUACAAAGGGUUGCCAAGCCGCGAGGCGGAGCCAAUCCCAGAAAGCCGAUCGUAGUCCGGAUUGCAGGCUGCAACUCGCCUGCAUGAAGUCGGAAUCGCUAGUAAUCGUGGAUCAGCAUGUCACGGUGAAUACGUUCCCGGGUCUUGUACACACCUCCCGUCACACCAUGGGAGCGGGUUCCGCAGAGGUAGGUAGCCUAACCGCAAGGGGGGCGCUUACCACGGCGGGGUUCGUGACUGGGGUGAAGUCGUAACAAGGUAGCCGUAGGGGAACCUGCGGCUG
rnacentral:rRNA from 1 species